GAUGAAGAACGUAGCGAAAUGCGAUAAGUAAUGUGAAUUGCAGAAUUCAGUGAAUCAUCGAAUCUUUGAACGCACAUUGCGCCCGCCAGUAUUCUGGCGGGCAUGCCUGUUCGAGCGUCAUUUCAACCAUCAAGCCCCCGGCUUGUGUUGGGGACCUGCGGCUGCCGCAGGCCCUGAAAACCAGUGGCGGGCUCGCUAGUCACUCCGAGCGUAGUAAUACAUCUCGCUCAGGGCGUGCUGCGGGUUCCGGCCGUUAAAAAGCCUUAUUUACCCAAGGUUGACCUCGGAUCAGGUAGGAAGACCCGCUGAACUUAAGCAUAUCAAUAAGCAGAGGA
rnacentral:misc_RNA from 1 species